rnacentral:misc_RNA from 1 species
UACAGAGGGUGCGAGCGUUAUUCGGAAUUACUGGGCUUAAAGGGUACGUAGGCGGUCCGUUAAGUGGGGUGUGAAAUCCCUCGGCUCAACCGAGGAACUGCGCCCCAUACUGGCGGACUCGAGGGAGACAGAGGUGAGUGGAACUGAUGGUGGAGCGGUGAAAUGCGUUGAUAUCAUCAGGAACACCAGUGGCGAAAGCGGCUCACUGGGUCUCUUCUGACGCUGAGGUACGAAAGCUAGGGGAGCGAACGGG